rnacentral:ncRNA from 1 species
UUAAAGUUUUAUUCUUGCUUUAUUUUAAGCUCUUUGGAUGUUUUAUAUAUGGCUUUAUUUAGUUAAAUACUUUGGUUUUGUAGUAAUUAUUAUUGAGUAUUAAGUUAUCUUAGAUUCAGCAAUUCUUUAAGGAAAGGCUAAUGUCGUGCCAGCAGCCGCGGUUAUACGUUAUUUUCAUGUUUAAAUUUUUUGUGGGCAGGGGUUUAAUUAAUAAGUGUUUCGUGCUUCUAAUGUUUGGUGGAAUAUUAUUAGAAUAAUCUGCGCUUUUUUUUGUCUGCUAAGGCUAAUGUAUAAACUAGGAUUAGAUACCCUAUUAUUUUAGAAUUAAUAUUUGCCUCAGGGUAGUAGUAGGAUUUUUGUGAAACUCAAAGAAUUUGGCGGCAUUUUAUCUUUUUAGAGGAACCUGUCCUAUAAUUGAUAUUACACGUUUGGCUCAACUAAUUAUAAUUGUUUGUAUAUUUCCGUUAUUAGAAUAUUUAUAUAUGAUAUUUUCGGUUUUUUUAAUUGGAAUUUAUUUCAGGUCAAGGUGCAGCUUAUUGGUUAGUAAGAGAUGGGUUACAAUAUUUGAAUUUAUACGGAUUUCUUUUUAUAAUUUUGGAUUGAAGGUGGAUUUAUUAGUAAAUUUUAAUAAUUAUUAUUUUUGAAUUAGCCCUGAUUUGUGUACAUAUCGCCCGUCACUCUCAUUUUUGAGAUAAGUCGUAACAAAGUAGAUUUACUGGAAAGUGAGUCUGGAUUCAG